rnacentral:lncRNA from 1 species
UUUAGUGGGAGUUUAAUGGCUGAUUUGUUCCUUGCAUGGCUGAGUUUGAAUGUGGACGGAUUCCUCAAAGAUCUCGAAUAAGGAAAACCUUUAAUGGGUGAAUUAACUCUUGAUUUUCUAUGCAUUGGUCGUGGGAUUACUUAAAUGAAAUGAUGGUAUUGUAUCUUUGCAAAUCUGAUUUGAAAUGUUGGAGAUUCACACGCCUACUUGGAUUAGCCUUGAUGUUUUGCCUUUCUUGAAUGAGCCUUGUCUUGAAUGCCUUGAAUUAUAUGUCCAACACAUGUUUUAUUCAAAUAAGGAAGGUAUUCAUUCCUUUAAUUCUCUUCCAAUCUGAAU